rnacentral:lncRNA from 1 species
AUAUCAUUUGAGAGAUAGCUUGCGCAGCUUAGUCAGCAGAUCAACAGCUUAUCUCAGAGGUUGGAGAUUUUAGAAAAGACUCAGAGUGAGACAUCUAAUUUUGAGCAUUUGACUGCGCAGUUUGCUAAACUUGCUAGAAGAGUUGAGGAAACUAUCAUUUCUUAGCAGGGCAGCACUGAGAUUCUCAUCACUGCUGUUCGGAGGGUUGAGG